rnacentral:rRNA from 1 species
UACAGAGGUCUCAAGCGUUGUUCGGAUUCAUUGGGCGUAAAGGGUGCGUAGGCGGCGCGGUAAGUCGGGUGUGAAAUCUCGGAGCUUAACUCCGAAACUGCAUUCCAUACUGCGGUGCUUGAGGACUGGAGAGGAGACUGGAAUUUACGGUGUAGCAGUGAAAUGCGUAGAGAUCGUAAGGAAGACCAGUGGCGAAGGCGGGUCUCUGGACAGUUCCUGACACUGAGGGACGAAGGCCAGGGGAGCAAACGGG